rnacentral:lncRNA from 1 species
GUAUUUCCUGCUUCUACCAAGGGAAAUCCUCAUUCCAUCUACGUGAAAGGCGAGUUACUAAAAGUUGUCAAACUUUUGAUCUAAUCUAUGAGAUUCAAGCAUAUCCUAAUUCUAUGUUAGGUUCAAUAUUAGAUGGUUCUAACGACAAACAGAGUAAAACUAUGUUCUUAGAAAAUAUUUCAAUAUGAAUUAUUUAUUACUAACGUCUUAGUAUCAUGCUCAUAUAUAGUUUGCAACAAUGUUAGUUUAUGAUUUUAGAAUGUCCUCAAUUCAGGUGAAUACUUGAAUAAUAAGAUCAAUCAAAUUAUUUUAACAAUUGCUUUUCCAACUUCAAUAUUAUAUCUAUUAGUGAACAAAGAAAAAAUUGUUUUUUAAAGGUAACAAUAUUAUAUGGCCUUUAAGACAAAAAGGGAAAACAACAGCAUAACGAGUUGGCAUUUUGUCUCAAUCUUAAAGCCUUGUUCUUCUUUCCUUGUUCCAUAAUCUGCAGGAUCCUGCAGCUUCUCUCUGCACCUUUGGAACAACAAACUCAACAAGUGGAGGGAUACCACCUUCAAUCCUAUAGUCAAAAAAUACAGAUCUGUAAAAGGGCAAAGUCUUUCAAAUUCUUCUGGCUCAACUCAUGCUUCAGUUUUUGUAAAGGUAUGUUAUUUUUCACAUUAACAAUACACUUAAAUUCUGAACUUUUAAAUGUAAGAGGGUGCAAGAAUGUUGUUGACCCUUAGUUUGAUACUUCUUUAAGAUAACAUCAGUUCAUUUGAGUUGAACGCAUGAUAAGUUCGUUUAUAUAUGUUAUAUUAGGUACUGCCAACUUUCUUAUUUUUAACACUGUUAAAAUUCUUAUGUUGGGGUAGUGUUUUUCUUCAUUUCUUGUCAUCUUUUUGAAUUAUUUUUUUUAGACUAAACCUGAUUUUAGGAGCUUGUAUGUUGUCUAUAUUAAGCAAUAUUCUACCUUGAAUAGGUAAUUUAGAGAAAGAUAUGCAUUCUAAUUUGCCUUAUUCCUCCAUAACAAGAUUUUCUAGAUAAUCUGCAAAUGAAAUUUCCUCUUGUAUAUGUGUUGCACAUGGAUUUUGAAACCUCUAUGAAAUUUCUUGUAUUUUUAUACUAUUGUACUAAUGUGCAAAGGGUGUGGUCCACAUAUCUCCAACAUUUUUUUUAUUAAAAGAGUCAAUUCUUAUUUAUGAAAGUAGUAAAUUCUUGUACAACACAGUAGGAUAAAGUUUCUCUAAUUGCAGUUUCCUCUACCUCAGUGUUUGGUGUGUCUGGGAAAACCUCAGCUUGAGCAAAUAUUAGGUCUCCAGUAUGUCUUCUAACACAUAUUUCAUAGGAGCUCUUACUAGGAUUUCUCCAACUAGCAAUAUUGCUUCUAACCUUGUUUCACAUGUUGAUGCAUGUAGCGCACAAGCUGUAACAGGCCAAAAUAUUCUACAUUCUUCAGGUUCAACUCAUGAUUCGGUUCUUCAAAAG